UCAUUCAGUUAGUUGAGUGGUUAGAGCAUCUGACUGUUAAUCAGAGGGUCGUUGGUUCGAGCCCAACCUGAGGAG
rnacentral:tRNA from 2 species